rnacentral:lncRNA from 1 species
UUUUUCUUGUAUAAAAAGAGGUAGGUGGCAGUGAGCAUUGGUGAUGUCAGUGUUUGUAUCUCUGUGACAUGGUAACCUUUCUCUUAAGGUUGCCACAGUUACAAGAGGACUGCUCCACUUCUAGCAUCAGCUCUAGAAUCCAGCCAGGAAGAAGGACACAGUACACAGAGCCAAAGGGGGAGCUUUCCAUUCAAACAUUUGGCUUUCAAUGA